rnacentral:rRNA from 1 species
AGAGUUUGAUUCUGGCUCAGAACGAACGCUGGCGGCGUGGAUAAGACAUGCAAGUCGAACGAGAGAAUUGCUAGCUUGCUAAUAAUUCUCUAGUGGCGCACGGGUGAGUAACACGUGAGUAACCUGCCCCCGAGAGCGGGAUAGCCCUGGGAAACUGGGAUUAAUACCGCAUAGUAUCGAAAGAUUAAAGCAGCAAUGCGCUUGGGGAUGGGCUCGCGGCCUAUUAGUUAGUUGGUGAGGUAACGGCUCACCAAGGCGAUGACGGGUAGCCGGUCUGAGAGGAUGUCCGGCCACACUGGAACUGAGACACGGUCCAGACACCUACGGGUGGCAGCAGUCGAGAAUCAUUCACAAUGGGGGAAACCCUGAUGGUGCGACGCCGCGUGGGGGAAUGAAGGUCUUCGGAUUGUAAACCCCUGUCAUGUGGGAGCAAAUUAAAAAGAUAGUACCACAAGAGGAAGAGACGGCUAACUCUGUGCCAGCAGCCGCGGUAAUACAGAGGUCUCAAGCGUUGUUCGGAAUCACUGGGCGUAAAGCGUGCGUAGGCUGUUUCGUAAGUCGUGUGUGAAAGGCGCGGGCUCAACCCGCGGACGGCACAUGAUACUGCGAGACUAGAGUAAUGGAGGGGGAACCGGAAUUCUCGGUGUAGCAGUGAAAUGCGUAGAUAUCGAGAGGAACACUCGUGGCGAAGGCGGGUUCCUGGACAUUAACUGACGCUGAGGCACGAAGGCCAGGGGAGCGAAAGGGAUUAGAUACCCCUGUAGUCCUGGCAGUAAACGGUGCACGCUUGGUGUGCGGGGAAUCGACCCCCUGCGUGCCGGAGCUAACGCGUUAAGCGUGCCGCCUGGGGAGUACGGUCGCAAGAUUAAAACUCAAAGAAAUUGACGGGGACCCGCACAAGCGGUGGAGCAUGUGGUUUAAUUCGAUGCAACGCGAAGAACCUUACCUGGUCUUGACAUCCACAGAACUUUCCAGAGAUGGAUUGGUGCCUUCGGGAACUGUGAGACAGGUGCUGCAUGGCUGUCGUCAGCUCGUGUUGUGAAAUGUUGGGUUAAGUCCCGCAACGAGCGCAACCCUUAUCCUUUGUUGCCAGCGGUUAGGCCGGGAACUCAAAGGAGACUGCCAGUGAUAAACUGGAGGAAGGUGGGGAUGACGUCAAGUCAUCAUGGCCCUUACGACCAGGGCUACACACGUGCUACAAUGGCAUAUACAAAGAGAAGCGACCUCGCGAGAGCAAGCGGACCUCAUAAAGUAUGUCGUAGUCCGGAUUGGAGUCUGCAACUCGACUCCAUGAAGUCGGAAUCGCUAGUAAUCGUAGAUCAGAAUGCUACGGUGAAUACGUUCCCGGGCCUUGUACACACCGCCCGUCACACCAUGGGAGUGGGUUGCAAAAGAAGUAGGUAGCUUAACCU